GGGCGUGUGGUCUAGUGGUAUGAUUCUCGCUUUGGGCGACUUGAAUAAACAGGAAGACAAAGUGCGAGGCCCUGGUUCAAUUCCCAGCUCGCCCC
rnacentral:tRNA from 1 species